AUACAGAGGGUGCAAGCGUUAAUCGGAUUUACUGGGCGUAAAGCGCGCGUAGGUGGCUAAUUAAGUCAAAUGUGAAAUCCCCGAGCUUAACUUGGGAAUUGCAUUCGAUACUGGUUAGCUAGAGUAUGGGAGAGGAUGGUAGAAUUCCAGGUGUAGCGGUGAAAUGCGUAGAGAUCUGGAGGAAUACCGAUGGCGAAGGCAGCCACCUGGCCUAAUACUGACACUGAGGUGCGAAAGCAUGGGGAGCAAACAGGAUUAGAUACCCUGGUAGUCCAUGCCGUAAACGAUGUCUACUAGCCGUUGGGGCCCUUGAGGCUUUAGUGGCGCAGCUAACGCAAUAAGUAGACCGCCUGGGGAGUACGGUCGCAAGACUAAAACUCAAAGGAAUUGACGGGG
rnacentral:rRNA from 1 species